AACCUACUCCCUCUGUCCCAAAAUUCUUGUCUUACAUUUGUCUAAAUACGGAUGUAUCAAAUCACAUUUUAGUAUUAGAUACAUCCGUAUCUAGACAAAUCUAAGACAAGAAUUUUGGGACGGAGGGAGUACUAA
rnacentral:pre_miRNA from 1 species